rnacentral:rRNA from 1 species
AUGAACGCUGGCGACAGGCCUAACACAUGCAAGUCGAACGGUAGUGGUAGCAAUACCACGAGAGUGGCGCACGGGUGAGUAACGCGUAUGCAACCUACCUGUAACUGGGGGAUAGCUCUCUGAAAGGGGGAAUUAACACCGCAUGAUACCAUGAGUUUGCAUGGAUUUAUGGUUAAAUAUUAUAGGUUACAGAUGGGCAUGCGUGACAUUAGCUAGUUGGGGAGGUAACGGCUCACCAAGGCUACGAUGUCUAGGGG